AGGAGCACUGAGCAAGAUGGCCACCUCCUGGUGGUAAGUCUCGCUCCUGGAGUUCCCAUCUUGACCCUACAGCGGGACAUUUUGCCGCCACCUCUUUGUGUGUUGGGAAGAUGACGUCCUUUCUGCUCGUCCUGCUUCUCUGAUUGGGACAGUCUGGUUUGAAAGGGAGGAGGAGAAAUAAGAGAAAGCUCCGUGGUAAUAUACAAGACGAAAGGAAAAGAAAGACAAGUAAAAGGAAUGAUCUGCAACCACCUGGAUAUUGGAGCACAAUUGUGAGAACAACUGGAUCUGUGUCUCUGGAGAUCCCUUUGCUCAGCCAUCAGAUCAAGCAGGCAUCCAUGGUUCAGAAUGCAGGUGAUGACCUGGGCAAGAGCUCACCAGUAAGGAGCAAAGGGGCCCGCCUGCCACUCUUAAGCAGAGCGCCUGCUGAAUCAGGAUUUCCAAGGCUCCGGCUGAGUGCCUGGCUGGGGGCUGUGUGUGCAGAUGCCACAAGAUGGACAAGACUGAGGACGCAGAUGAGGAAACUGAAGCAACUGUUCAAGAAGAGGAUAUAAAAAGGGACAGGCAUUGAUGAUGAUAUCAGAGCUUCUUCCUGGGGAAUCUCAGCCUCACAUGAUGGAGUAUGACUAAAGGAAAAAAAUAAGGCUCUUCACAUACUUUCUUGGCAGUCUGUGAGGGUCAGGGUUGAUUUUGUGUCCCUAAAAUGUCACAUGAAGUUCAUAGGCACUUCCAAAGGGGCAGUCUAGCAAGUUAAAGAGUAGAUGUGGGGCUGUGUGGAGUCCAUUGUUUGGGUAAUCUUUUUCAAACAGUAGGAAUAUACCAGCUUGUAAAGAUUUGCCCACUUAGCUUCAAGUCUCUCUGAACACAUUUCCCCCCGCUCUAUGAAUAGAUGAAGACAUACAAAUGGAACUCUUGAUAUUCUUAAGUGAAAAACAUGAUAUGGAAUAGCAGAUAAAUACAAACAAUUUCUUAUCCAGCAAAGAGCUCCAGAAAUAUUUUGACUUCAUUUAAAACAGUUAUAUAAAUAUUUGCUGGUGGAAUUUUUUUCUAAACCAAAUACCCUGAAGGAUUUUAGUUGUCUAUCUACAACUUUUUGCUUGUGGAAAAUGUUGACUUCCUGGUUACUUUGACUUGUGUUCACCUGAAAUUUUGCUUUUGCAGUAGUUUUUCUUAUGAUUUAGUGGCAUUGCCUGUCCAGUGACAGGAAGUGGUGUUCUUAUUGGGACUAAUAUGUGUUAUGGCCCUAGAACCAGCAGAAGCCACUCCUGCUUUUUUCCACACUCUUCUUUCUAUAGAAGAGAAGGGAAUGAGGAUCCCACAUGGCAUUCACUGCCUUGAGCAUACUGAGAUUUCUUUGCAAAAGGAGAAACAGCACCAGCAACUAAGCAUUUUAUCCCAUUUUAUUUUACUUCUUCUAUGAUUCUUUGCCACUUAGCAAUGCCAAUUAAUUGAUUUGGGACUGGAAAUACAUUUCUUAUACAAUCUUCAAGUUUUCUUUCAUAAGAACAUAACUUUCAUCUGAUAUUGUUCCCCACUUCUCUCUUUUCAAAUGUAAUAUUUGGGCCAGUCCUUGAAAGUGAACUGAGUUGAGUUCUCAUGGCCCAUAAAAGAACAUAUUCAAAAUGUAUCAUUUUCUUUAUGUCACAGAUAAAAGAUCAUUAAUUGUAUAUAAAAUUUCCAUAUAAUUUUUAAAAUUUUUAUUUUGCAAUAAUUUAUUUUAGAUUUACAUUAAAGUUGCAAGGAAGGU
rnacentral:lncRNA from 1 species